AUAUCCCUAUUUGAAAAUUCUCCAAAUCAUGUGAGUCCCUCUGGUGGUGACAGCAAAGCUGCUGGUUUCAUGGUGUUCAACAAAUGUGUUUUAUAUUUAGGUCUAUGGGCCGGGAGUGGUGGCUCAGGCCUGUAAUCCAAGCACUUUGGGAGACUGAGGUGGGCAGAUCACCAGAAGUCAGGAGUUCAAGACCAGCCUGGCCAACAUGGUGAAACCCCAUCUCUACUAAAAAUACAAAAUUUAGCCAGGCAUGGUGGUGGUCACCUGUCAUCCCAGCUACUCAGGGGGCUGAGGCUGGAGAAUCGCUUGAACCUGGGAGGCAGAGGUUGCAGUGAGCCGAGAUUGCACACAAUAAAUAAAUGAUUUAAUGCCCAUACAAUGGAGUGCCGUGCAGCUCUUAAAAAGAAUGCCACGAGGAUGGUCAACACAUGCUGUUCUCCUGGAUGAGGAUUAUUACCAUCAGCUCCAUUUUUCAGGUGAGAAAACUGAGACUUAGGGAGGCUACAUAAUUUUCCGAAGGUCACUCCCUACUGAAUGUAGGAGCAGGGAUCUGACAGCCACCUAAUGACACCCUAGAACAGCACUCUCUCCUCCGCUCUCCUCCAUGUCCCCCUCUGACUCCCGGGAGACCUCCCCAGCUUGCAGUCCCCAGGGCCCUGGUGUCCAUAACCCGAGGAAGGGGAGGGGCCCAUGAGAUCUUGGACUUUCUCACUCUCUGAAAAUGAGCAACUGAGAACGAGACUUGACUUUGCUUAGGAAGUAUAAACAAAUGCGACAUUUAUUGCCUAUCAAAUAUUAGAAGCAGUUCGUCUAUUUAACGUGUGUUAGUAUCGGUGUUCCUUUUUAUUCAAACUCUCCCUAUUGAGCUCAAGAAUCAAAGUCAGAUAACUUUGUCGAUAAAUCCCUUCCUUUCUACACCCUUGCUACUCACUGUCUCAAGACCCAAACUCACUGGGACAAGGCGCUGCCCCUCCUGAUUCAAGCCUGGUGUCUGCCUCUCACUAUGCAAAUCAGGAGCCAGACAGCCGCGGAGAGGGCGGCGGUGAGUGCACAGAGCACACGCAUGCGUUCGGCUUGCCCCCACGCCGCCCCCGUUAUCUCUGUGGGUGUGAAGGUGAGAAUUUUUCACUUUUCCAGUGAGUUACUGUACUGCUUUGACUCUCACAAGCGUGUCGACUUGAUGGAUUUUUGUAAAUAUAGCCGUCAGCGGAUGCCUCUUGUCCCCAUCUCGGGAACCAUAACCCAGAUUCCCAAAGGGGAGCUUGCCCACAUGGAUGGAAACUGAGGCCCUCAGAGAGGCCAUCGGCCUUGAUCCCUUGCUCCUAUUCAAAGAUCUCAACAUUAUUGCAGCCUUCCUUGGGGCAGCCGGACAUUCCCGUGUGGAGGAAGCGUCCACUCACGUGCCAUGGGAACUUUGUAGAUUUCACUGUGAUGCAAACAGCUGCCCGUGAGGCCCUCAGUGCCCAGGGCCCGUUGUUGGGUGCUUUUGAGGGUGGGAGGUGGAGGGGUUUCCAUUUUGCUUGGGGGAUCAGCAUCACCCAUUCUUUCUCCUUUUCCUCUGGGCUGGUGCUCAGAUGGUGAGAGCACUGUGCUGAUGAGGUGGGCCCUGGGGUGGAACCCAUGGCCCCCUCUGACUCCCAGGAGACCUGGCCAGCUGCAGCGGCCCCCGUGGACCAGCAGAGGGACAAGAGAGGAGCUGACGUGGAGGAGCCGAGGCCCACUGGGGGCUCCUGGAGAGUCCGUCCGCCUGUGGACAGCAGCUCAGGUGUUCAGCUGCUUCCAGAGAGGAAGCACCUCUUCCUAGACUGAGGCA
rnacentral:lncRNA from 1 species